AGAAAUUUGUAUGUGGGUAUUUUCCAUUUUGGAGAGACAGACUUUGAGACCACAAACCAUAGUCAAUAUUAACUAUGCUUUAACUCUUCUAAGAUCAGAGCAAGCACGUCAUCAGCCACAUAGGGAGUGAUCCAAUCUUUUCCACUCUUGUGAAUAUGAGUGGCUAGCCAGUGGGAAGGGACCCUCAUCUUUGCUGUAUGAGUUGAGCCCCUGCCUUCUGCUGGGCACCAUACACAGACAUGGACAGCAAGCCCGGCCUGGCCCUGCCUUUGCUGGAGAGAAGGGGCAUCCUCAUCUGUCUAUGCUAAGGCCUGUGGGAAGGGGCGUGAUCCUGGGCAACAGAGAAGCAUAGUGUGACAGGUCCGGAAAGGUGUUCUGAGAAUGUGACAUUGAGCUGACGUCUCAGGGUGAGUAGCUGUUAACUGGCAAAGAAGGGAAGAGGGAACACCACGUGCAAAGACCCAGAGGUGGAGGCUGCACAGGUCACUGGAGGGAUUAAAAUGAGGCCAAGAAUCCAGAGCUCAGAGAGUGAAGGCGCGGGAACAGAUGGAAACAGAGAGCCAGGGCUGGGAGACAAUGGCCACACACAGAGGGCAGCCCUCAGAAGCUUAGGCUCCAAGACUGAGCCUGACCUGCCACUUAGCAGCAGCCACCAUUGACGAGUCCCUUACUACCUCCAUGUCCAGCUUCUUCACCCGUAACUGGGGGCCACGAGAGAAUCUAUCUUACAACAUUCUUCAGAACAGUCAAUGCUCCAUAGAGUGCACAUAACACCCUCCAAAAGGGGGUCUGUUUUACAGCAGAGACGUAAGAAUCUUCUUUUAACCUGUACUGUUCUCAUCCUGACAUUUUCUUACCUUUAGGCAAGAGUUUCCUACCCUAUGUUCUAUGGGACACUGUCCUGUAACAUAUUCUGAGAAAGGGUGCCCUAAUUGAGUUUGAGAAACAUUGCACAUGGCACAUUUAAGAAUCUGAAAGUCCCCACCGUUUAAAACAAAACAAAACUUUUUGUAAUCAAGUGUGUGCCCUAACAAGUCAACUAUCCC
rnacentral:lncRNA from 1 species